GUGGGAGGUAAUUGCAUCAUGGGGGCUGAUCUUUCCCAUGCUAUUCUCAUGAUAUUGAAUAAGCCUCAUGAGAUCUGAUGGGUUUAUCAGGGGUUUCUACUUUUGCUUCUUCCUCAUUUUUCUCUUACUGCCACCAUGUAAGAAGUGCCUUUCACCUCCCUCCAUGAUUCUGAGGCCUCCCCAGCCAUGUGGAACUGGACCACUUCCUGCUGUCAAAUUCCAGUGGUAGCAUUUGGAAAAGUCAUGCAUGAAGCUCUGGUGGCAUACUACGGGGUCACCCAAAGAGAAAUCCUGGAACACCCAAGGGAAUAAAGGGAAGGAAGAGUUACUUCGUGGGCCUGCUUCAGUCAAAGGCCUUUGACAGAACAACAGAAAACAUUCCCUUUCAAACAAGGAAAUGAACUCUAAAAACAAAAAUAAAAAAAUUUUUUAAUGCAAG
rnacentral:lncRNA from 10 species